AUUAGAUCAAUCAUUUCCAUCUCACCCUGUCCUCUGCAUCUUUCUUUGUCACACCAACCUCCUGCAUGUCCUUCCGCGGUACAUCCAUAAACCUUGUCUUUGGCCUCCCUGUUCUGCUGCUGCCUGGUGGCUCCAUCCUCAGUAUCCUUCUUCCUAUAUACCAUGGGUCCCUCCUCUGCACAUGUCCAAAUUAUUUCAAUCUCACCUCUCUGACUUUGUCUCCAUA